rnacentral:rRNA from 1 species
GAUGAACGCUAGCUACAGGCUUAACACAUGCAAGUCGAGGGGAAACGAUAUUGGAAGCUUGCUUCCGAUAGGCGUCGACCGGCGCACGGGUGAGUAACGCGUAUCCAACCUGCCCACCACUUGGGAAUAACCUUGCGAAAGUAAGACUAAUGCCCAAUGAUAUCUCUAGAAGACAUCUGAAAGAGAUUAAAGAUUUAUCGGUGAUGGAUGGGGAUGCGUCUGAUUAGCUUGUUGGCGGGGUAACGGCCCACCAAGGCGACGAUCAGUAGGGGUUCUGAGAGGAAGGUCCCCCACAUUGGAACUGAGACACGGUCCAAACUCCUACGGGAGGCAGCAGUGAGGAAUAUUGGUCAAUGGGCGAGAGCCUGAACCAGCCAAGUAGCGUGCAGGAUGACGGCCUUAUGGGUUGUAAACUGCUUUUAUAAGGGAAUAAAGUGAGUCUCGUGAGACUUUUUGCAUGUACCUUAUGAAUAAGGACCGGCUAAUUCCGUGCCAGCCGCCGCCGUAA